GAUCUGUCAUCAGUAGCUCUUGACACCCCCACCCCAUCCCGUGGCUCACCUGGCUUCCCUGGUGCCACCUCCCCAAACUCUGGGGUGGCGUAGUGGAUCUCCUGGGUGUGUUCUGUCCCUGGGAAAAAGACAAGGCGCAGGAGGGAGUUACUGGGCCAGUUCUUUGCAUCUCUGGCCACACGGGGGCAGUGGCGUCGAGACCGUGGACGUCGCGGAAAGCACUUGCCGUCGUCGGGGACUGUGGGUCGCAAAACGGAAUAAAGAAGGUAUAUGGAAUAAGAUCAGUGCAUAUCAAUGGCCUUCCAUUUGCUGGGAGCUGUUUGGAGGAGGAAGGACUGUGGCACU
rnacentral:lncRNA from 1 species